UUUCCGUAGGUGAACCUGCGGAAGGAUCAUUACCGAGUGAGGGUCCUCUGGGCCCGACCUCCCAACCCUAUGUUUAUUGUACCUUAUGUUGCUUCGGCGGACCCGCCUCACGGCCGCCGGAGGGUCUUAGGUGACCCUCUGGCCCGCGUCCGCCGACGGCCAACCAAUUAAACUCUGAAUGAAUCGUGUCAUUAUGUCUAAGUCUAUGAUUAAAUUAAAGCAAAACUUUCAACAACGGAUCUCUUGGUUCUGGCAUCGAUGAAGAACGCAGC
rnacentral:misc_RNA from 1 species